UUUUCAAUCAGGGUAAUUUUUAAUUGACCUCUAAAUUAAAAAUAGUUUGAUUAUACACUGUUUGAAGAAAAUUAAUUAUCCUUCUUUUCCUUCAAAGUAUGGAAAUUUUAAGGCCAAGCCAAUUUCUAAGCCAAAGUUAAAGAAGGACAAAUAUAGGACUUUAAAAGCUAGGUGCAACCUUAACAAUUGGGAGAAUACUGCUGUUCCAUAAUAAAGAGAAGGUAGACGUGACAGAACUUCCUGAGACAGCUACAGAUUUGACAAUGAGAGGGGCAAACUAAAACUUCAAAAAAUCCAGCACUUACAGAAUUUAGCUGAAACUCCCUUGAUGUGUGGUGUUCAGUAGUCUGACAUGGGACUAGCACAGGGAGCUGCUCCUGGGAUGUGCUGCACCUCCAGAGGAAACUGCAAUGUGCUGCUGUUACCUAGGAAAACAUAUCCUCCAAAAUGGGGCACUGCAAUUCCUUCUCUGAGACAUUGCUCUUUCUUCCUCCACAGCUUCUGAUGUGUUUUACCACCACUGUGAAGGCAGAAGAGAGAAGCAGAAUAGAACAGGACAAGGUUGGUGCUGCACUCCCUGGACUUAGUUUUUCCUUCUUCAGAAGGCCCCUGUGUAUAGAACGAGCUAUGACAUAUGCUGUUGCUCCUGAAGAGGUGCUCCAGUAACAGGCAUCUACUGGAUGCAUUUCGGAGAGCACUGAAUGAAAAGGAUGUGUUUAAAUGCUGAAGGAUGUGAGCAAAGCCAGUAGUGACAAAUUAAAAAAAGGAGGAGUUCCAGGAAGGAACAGAAUGAAAGAGAUUUUUGAAAAAAAAGGCAAGG
rnacentral:lncRNA from 1 species